UACAGAGGGUGCGAGCGUUGUUCGGAAUUACUGGGCGUAAAGCGCGUGUAGGCGGUUGUUCAAGUCAGGCGUGAAAGCCUUGAGCUCAACUCAAGAAAUGCACUUGAUACUGGAUGACUAGAGGACCGGAGAGGAUAGUGGAAUUCCCAGUGUAGUGGUGAAAUACGUAGAGAUUGGGAAGAACACCAGUGGCGAAGGCGGCUAUCUGGACGGUUUCUGACGCUAAGACGCGAAAGCGUGGGGAGCAAACAGG
rnacentral:rRNA from 1 species